CAAGAUGAAUCAAUCUAUGAACCUAAAAGGAAUAACUCUUCAAUGUAGGAAUGUAUGGUAUUUGGGUUACAAUGUAAGCAAAAAAACUUGCCUUUUACAGAAAUGUAGCCAUCCUCUUUAUAGUGGAGGAUCCUACUUUAGAUAUAAUUAAAAAUACAUAGUGGGGAGUCCAUGAUAAAUCAGUUUUUUCCUGAUUCCCGCUGAAAUUCUCUCCCUUAGUGCGGUUGCAACAACUCUUGUCUGUGAGCUCGAGCUUGAUCGGACUCGGUGUUGGUCGGUAUUGUUUUUAGAGCUCGAUGCGGAUUUGAGCUCGAUGCCGACUCGGGGUCUUGUAAUGACUCGGGCUCAGUAUCGGUUGGCCUUUGUCCCUUAAGCUCGAUUCCAUAACAUCUCAUGAUCAUAGUUCGAUUCGGACCCGAGCUCGAUAAUGACUUCGAACUCAGUGUUUGACCUGUACCUGAAAUCUGAAGCUCGUUCGUGCCAUCUUCGGAACCCAUCUCGAUAUUACGAAAUCUUCUUUCGGUCCAUUAUGAUCCCCAUCUCGAUCAAUCGUACGAAAGCCGAAAUCAAUUUCGACCGUAUACAAUUGAAUUUCAUGCUAUAAAUUUGUUAUAUUUCUUUUAAAUUGUAACAGUUAUAUAAAGUUCUCAUAAUUAUGUGCUCUCUUCAUAGAGAUAUAUAAAUAUUCGAGUCAGAGAACAAAAACAGGCAAAAUAAGAAAGAACAAAUAAAAAAGUUCAAUCUUACAUUCAAACGAGAAGAAGAGUCUUUUUGCCGUUCUUCUACUUCGAAGGCAAAACUAUAACACAGCAAAAGCAAAGAAAAAGUUAGCAAGAAAGAUGAAUUUAGAAAGUACAUGACUUGGAGAGGAAAGCUAAAUACAGUUUCGUCCUUUUCGGUAUGAAAUUUAGCUACGUUUACUAUCUUCUUUUAUCGUGUUAUUUCUUGGGAAAGAUCCAAAAUCCAUUCUGAUCUUGAUCUAGUUAAUAGAUUCCAUGGUCAUUUUCAGAGGAAUGAUUCAAGGUUUAUGCUCAUAAUCGCAACAUAAAGAAGUCAUAAAAAAUAUGAAUAUUAUCUGCAAAAGAUCAAAAGAGAAAUAGCAAACUAACAAAAGAUAAGGGAAACACGAAAAGAAAUCUCACCUUCCGUUAUUGAGAGUGGAAGCAGAGAGAUUAAUUGCUCCAACUUUGCUUAAUUUGAUGGUUAGAGAAAUAACAAAUAAGAAAGAAUAUUAUAG
rnacentral:lncRNA from 1 species